UCGGAUAGGAGUACUAUUUCUUUUUCUAGGGAAUUUGGGGUGAGCUUUGAAGAUAUAAAGUCUAGGGUUUCAACCAAAGCUACAGCCUCCGCUUCUUCAGCAGAACUCACCUCGACAUUUUUUGCAAACCCAUCUCUUAUUAUGCCCAAGGAGUCUCUACAGAUGCAAGCAACAACAGCGUGAGAGGAAGUUCUUCUCUACUAGGAGUCGGAGAAUCCCCCAGUCGUCUCUAUGGGUGUGGCGGGGUGCAAUGCUGGAUUAGGUCCGCAAACAGCACGUCGCUCAGUUCGAUUGAGGUCAGGGGAAUAAACGGGUUCUUCCUCUGCAUCGUUGCUGCACAGAGUCGGUAGAAUCUUCAUCGAUGGUGAUGCUGGUCAGUGGGAGCUUGCCAGGAUCUCUCACUGCUCCUCUGCUAUUCAGCUCGAGCAAGCGUGCUUUGUUCUAAAUCUGGAUCAAGUUAAAUGUCUCCGAUGUGUCAGGCUCAUCUCCAUUUUCUCUACUAUUCGGGUGAGGGCUGCUCCUAUCCAGUUGUGUCGCUCUGGUUUGGCCUACUGAAGAAGCAUAGGCAGCUCCAUUCUCUGUUCGUCUGCCGCCAUGGGUCGCUGUGUCGAUCUGGUGGUACCGGGCAGGUGUCAUUGGGACCUCCACCCAGGGGAUGCUUCCCGUAAGCUUGCUCUCGACAUUUACUGGGCGUCACGAUCAGGUUAGGUAUUUCUUGGCUUGCUUCUCUGUGUAGAUCAGGUAAGUAUCGUGCCCAUUCUAUACUUCUUUCUUUAGGUCGGGGCGAUAUAACUCUAAACGUUUUAUCCUUCCCGGUAGUGCUAUUUACAUACGGGUUGUGCGAUAUAUCAUUGUAUCUCUCGGUUAUGUCUGUAGUCGAAGUUGGAAAAGAUGUUGGGAAUUCACUUGGAUUGGCGGAAGUGAUGUCGCAAUUGGAAAUUGAAGCCAAGGCAGAAUCCAAAAUAACUUCAUUGCUACGCACCACCUCCUCUUGAUAAAUAUUAGGUGAGUCAGUGUUUGAAUAGGCAUCUUCGAAUGAAGCAUCGAUGUUUAUUUUGAGAACUCCUUGGGGCAGGGCAUGCCACUUGUCAGGGUCAGGGGAUGUUUCUUGAAGAUAAAGUGGUUGCGAUCCUUCCGUAUGCACCAGAAAACUGAAGCAACCAGUUCAAAGGUUGGCUCAUUCCAUAUUUGUGCUGUCCAGGGGCAAAGGAGCAGAGUGUGCUCGACCAUCUCCGCUUCCAUAUUGCAUAUCGAGCACAUUGGUGAAGGGCUGGGCUAAGAGUUCUAGACUCAAAGAAAAGCUGCACUUCCUUAAGAAUAUCCCCGCUGAUGACUUGCCAAUGCUGCUGAAAAAAUAGUCCGUUCAGUCCAUUCGGUCCUGGAGCUUUGGUAGCACCCAAUUGCUCCUCCAGAGACACUCAUGCUCUAGUCCUCACACUCACUCUCCUGAGAGCCCCACGAUGACGCCGACUUCAGAUCCGCCAACAAAAAAUCUGGCAGCUUGCAAUUCAACUCCUCCCUCCCUCCGACGUGACCACUUAGGCCAUCGCCUCCACUCGAUUCCCUGCAUCCUUGCACAUUUUCCCCUGCUUGUGGGUAGUGAGGUUUGGGCAACCUUCGAAGGCCUGCACUUUCUCUCUUUAAGCCUUCUUGGGUCGUCAGGAUGGAGGCGAGUUCCUCUUUUUGUUUGUCAAGGAGGCUCGAAAGAAGCCGGAACCUCCUUGCAUCGUCUACCAUGGGAGCGGAAGGAUCGAUUGUCACCGUUGCCGCAAAAAAAGUCUCUCUCUCUCUCUCUCUCUCUUUCUCUCUCGGUGGCAAACCCAGAUGGUUUGGUUAGAUAUCAGCUCAGGUUAUUGGUGAAAUCUCCUAACUUGUUACAAGUACAUACUAUUGUGUCGAGGUCUUGAUCAGAAUAGAAAUGUUGUUUGUGAGAGAUCUGCGCGUGCAACACUGUUGUAGGUGUUUGCUUAUAGAUAUCUCAUGGGGGUGAACUUGAUUAGUUUCCAAAUGUGAGGGCAUAGAUUGACCUUAUGCAUUGUUCUUGUAAGAGAGAUAGAGAGAUUCCAUAUAGUUCUCUCUUUUUGGUACUGGCAACUAUUAAAUUCAAGCUUGCCCUAUCUAAGAUGGGAGGAAAUAUCUCUCUAGUUGGAUAGUGAGGAAUUGAAAAGCAUGAAGGCUACUGCUACCUAGUGAACUGAAGAAAUCCCAUUGCAUUACUAGUGAACCGGUUCAGACUUAUGAGUCAUGGACCACAAGUUAUGGUGGCUUGAUAAGAGGGCGAAGCUCCACAUAUGGUCAAGCGCUGAUAGUCUACUCUCUCAAGCAAAGAGACCACUAGGCUUAUGUUUUAUAGCUUCCAUCCACAUAAGAGUCUGUAUAAGUAGGUUUUGUUGUACUUACAGUGGUCUUCUUCAAUGCUGCUUCUUGUUCCAUAACAAAACACACACUACAUCGCCAUGACUUCCUUGGAAUUUCACCUUUUGUCCCCUUGCUUAUUAUGCAUCAUCUGGGUUUGUUGUGGGGUGUAAGGGGGUCGAGAAAAUUACAUUGGCAAGUGUGCUUUCAAUUAGAAUGAGAGCAUAGAUUCAUGGCGUUUCAGUAUUCUUUUGGCCACUUAAUUAAGUUUUCUGCAAUUGGUAGAUUUCUCUUUGUUUGUUUACUGCUUUUGUUGGGUGUUCCUCCACUAAAUCCUCGUAUUAUUUGUUGUUGUAGAGCUAAUCAACCAACAAAAUUGAGUUCACCUACAGUAUCAGUUAUAUUCAACAACUGUUAACUAUUUGACUCCAUUUAUUCUUAGUGAGUUUUUUAUGUCUGGGUUAGCCCCUUCGUGUGGAGGGUGGAGUGGGCAUUGAAGCUCAAGGGCAUAGCCUACAACUGCAUCGAGGAAGACAUCCUCAACAAGAGCGCUCUUCUUCUGCGACUCAACCCUGUUCACCAGAAAGUCCCUGUCCUCGUCCAUGGAGGCAGAGUCCAGAGUAGUCUGCGAGUCCAGGAGGAAUGAAGCCCUGUGUCAAUUAUUGCACCUACUCCUUGCUCGGUGCAGAGAAUAGCUUUGCUUGCCCUUGUUUUCCUUAUGAGUUGGGCUUUGGAUUUGUAUUUAAGAUUCAAGAGUUAAGUAUGGAUUGUAAUAAUGUGGUUUAGUGCGGUUUUUGAGUUACUCUGCUCCUGUGUAUGAUUUCACUCUAUCUUAGAUUGUUGGUUGCACAAAUUGACAGUUGAAGCUUCCAUUACAAACGAGUAAGAUUGCAAAUUAAUUCCA